UACAGAGGGCUCAAGCGUUGUUCGGAUUCACUGGGCGUAAAGGGUGCGUAGGCGGCGGGGUAAGUCGGAUGUGAAAUCCCAGGGCUCAACCCUGGAACUGCAUUCGAUACUGCCUUGCUCGAGUACUGGAGAGGAGACUGGAAUUUACGGUGUAGCAGUGAAAUGCGUAGAUAUGCGGAGGAACACCGAUGGCGAAGGCAAUCCCCUGGGCCUGCACUGACGCUCAUGCACGAAAGCGUGGGGAGCAAACAGG
rnacentral:rRNA from 1 species